rnacentral:miRNA from 2 species
AACUCUGACCCCUUAGGUUGAU